GUCCAGACUCCUACGGGAGGCAGCAGUGGGGAAUAUUGGCCAAUGGCCGAGAGGCUGAACCAGCCAAGUCGCGUGAGGGAAGACGGCCCUACGGGUUGUAAACCUCUUUUGUCGGGGAGCAAAGCGAACCACGUGUGGUUCAUUGAGAGUACCCGAAGAAAAAGCAUCGGCUAACUCCGUGCCAGCAGCCGCGGUAAUACGGAGGGUGCAAGCGUUAAUCGGAAUUACUGGGCGUAAAGCGCACGCAGGCGGUCUGUCAAGUCGGAUGUGAAAUCCCCGGGCUCAACCUGGGAACUGCAUUCGAAACUGGCAGGCUGGAGUCUUGUAGAGGGGGGUAGAAUUCCAGGUGUAGCGGUGAAAUGCGUAGAGAUCUGGAGGAAUACCGGUGGCGAAGGCGGCCCCCUGGACAAAGACUGACGCUCAGGUGCGAAAGCGUGGGGAGCAAACAGGAUUAGAUACCCUGUA
rnacentral:rRNA from 1 species